rnacentral:rRNA from 1 species
AUGAACGCUGGCGGCGUGCCUAAUACAUGCAAGUCGAGCGAACAGACGAGGAGCUUGCUCCUCUGACGUUAGCGGCGGCCGGGUGAGUAACACGUGGAUAACCUACCUAUAAGACUGGGAUAACUUCGGGAAACCGGAGCUAAUACCGGAUAAUAUAUUGAACCGCAUGGUUCAAUAGUGAAAGACGGUUUUGCUGACACUUAUAGAUGGAUCCGCGCCGCAUUAGCUAGUUGGUAAGGUAACGGCUUACCAAGGCAACGAUGCGUAGCCGACCUGAGAGGGGGGUCGGCCACCCUGGAACUGAGACACGGUCCAGACUCCUACGGGAGGCAGCAGUAGGGAAUCUGCCGCAAGGGGCGAAAGCCUGACGGAGCAACGCCGCGUGAGUGAUGAAGGUCUUCGGAUCGUAAAACUCUGUUAUUAGGGAAGAACAAAUGUGUAAGUAACUAUGCACGUCUUGACGGUACCUAAUCAGAAAGCCACGGCUAACUACGUG